GUAGUCUCGCACAGAUGCAUAUCAAUAAGCGGAGGAAAAGAAACUAACAAGGAUUCCCUUAGUAACGGCGAGUGAAGCGGGAAGAGCUCAAAUUUGAAAUCUUCAAGGUUUUACCUUGACGAAUUGUAGUUUAAAGAAGUGUUUUCUGUUGAAGUUUUGGUAAAAGUUCUUUGGAAUAGGACAUCAUAGAGGGUGAGAAUCCCGUAUUUGACCAUUAUCUUCAGCUGUGUGAUACACUUUCAAAGAGUCGGAUUGUUUGGGAAUGCAGUCCAAAAUGGGUGGUAAAUUUCAUCUAAAGCUAAAUAUUGGCGAGAGACCGAUAGCGAACAAGUACCGUGAGGGAAAGAUGAAAAGAACUUUGAAAAGAGAGUUAAACAGUACGUGAAAUUGUCAAAAGGGAAGCGUUUGACACCAGUGUUGUUUUCUCGAAAAUCAAUUAAAAAGAGUUUGAUUUUGUUGUGUAUUGACCUUAACAGCUUGCAUUUCAAUUUUCUUGCUUUUUUUAAUGCACUUUUCGUUUAACAAGUCAACAUCAGUUUCUUUUGUUGUAAAAAGGUCAUUGGAAGGUGGCUUUCUUUUCGGAGAAAGUGUUUAUAGCCUUUGACUCCUGCAAUCGGAGAGACUGAGGUCUGCAGCGUAGAUCCUUCGGGGUUAGAUACAUUUGUGCUAAGUUAUAGCUUUUUAUAGACAACUUGUUGACUAUGAUUAGUCUUGUAGCUUACUCGCUUAUGCUAUUUUACCUACGCUUAGGAUGUUGAGCGCAUGUCUCUCUCU
rnacentral:rRNA from 1 species